rnacentral:lncRNA from 1 species
GCUACUUAGGGAAAAAUAGGAGGGCAUUCGGAGAUAGGAAUUUGGAAUCAGAGAGUUAGCUUUAAGCUCCUUCCAAAGGUAUAAGACUUAGUUUCAUAGGAUUUGGGAGGACUUUGCAAUCAUUGUUCAAAGUCACUGAUUGUAUUGGUGAUUUGGAUUUUUUGCAAUAAAGUUAGGGUUAGUACUCUUAAUUGUUUUGUAAAAUUGAAAAAAUAUCUACGGUUGAAAUUUUAGAGAUGUCUAGAUGGUUGAGUAUGCCAAGUGCAUGCAAAAAUUUGUAUUAAUCUAAUGGUACAAAUAGAGGAUAUUUGAUCAAUAGUAUAAAGAGGUAUCAGAAGUU